rnacentral:rRNA from 1 species
UGGGGAAUAUUGGACAAUGGGCGCAAGCCUGAUCCAGCCAUGCCGCGUGAGUGAUGAAGGCUCUAGGGUUGUAAAGCUCUUUCGCCGGGGAAGAUAAUGACGGUACCCGGAGAAGAAGCCUCGGCUAACUCCGUGCCAGCAGCCGCGGUAAUACGAAGGGAGCUAGCGUUGUUCGGAAUUACUGGGCGUAAAGCGCACGUAGGCGGAUUUUUAAGUCAGGGGUGAAAUCCCAAGGCUCAACCUUGGAACUGCCUUUGAUACUGGAAGUCUUGAGAUCGGGAGAGGUGAGUGGAAUUCCUAGUGUAGAGGUGAAAUUCGUAGAUAUUAGGAAGAACACCAGUGGCGAAGGCGGCUCACUGGCCCGAUACUGACGCUGAGGUGCGAAAGCGUGGGGAGCAAACAGGAUUAGAUACCCAGGUAGUCCCUGAGCGGGCUGGCAAGGCGCAU